rnacentral:rRNA from 1 species
UGGGGAAUUUUGGACAAUGGGGGAAACCCUGAUCCAGCCAUCCCGCGUGUGCGAUGAAGGCCUUCGGGUUGUAAAGCACUUUUGGCAGGAAAGAAACGUCGCGGGUUAAUACCCCGCGAAACUGACGGUACCUGCAGAAUAAGCACCGGCUAACUACGUGCCAGCAGCCGCGGUAAUACGUAGGGUGCAAGCGUUAAUCGGAAUUACUGGGCGUAAAGCGUGCGCAGGCGGUUCGGAAAGAAAGAUGUGAAAUCCCAGAGCUUAACUUUGGAACUGCAUUUUUAACUACCGGGCUAGAGUGUGUCAGAGGGAGGUGGAAUUCCGCGUGUAGCAGUGAAAUGCGUAGAUAUGCGGAGGAACACCGAUGGCGAAGGCAGCCUCCUGGGAUAACACUGACGCUCAUGCACGAAAGCGUGGGGAGCAAACAGGAUUAGAUACCCUGGUAGUCCACGCCCUAAACGAUGUCAACUAGCUGUUGGGGCCUUCGGGCCUUGGUAGCGCAGCUAACGCGUGAAGUUGACCGCCUGGGGAGUACGGUCGCAAGAUUAAAAACUCAAAGGAAUUGACGGGGGUCAUAGCUGUUUCC